rnacentral:rRNA from 1 species
AUUGAACGCUGGCGGCAGGCCUAACACAUGCAAGUCGAACGAGUGGCGGACGGGUGAGUAAUGUCUGGGAAACUGCCUGAUGGCGGGGGAUAACUACUGGAAACGGUAGCUAAUACCGCAUACCAUCGGAUGUGCCCAGAUGGGAUUAGCUAGUAGGUGGGGUAACGGCUCACCUAGGCGACGAUCACUAGCUGGUCUGAGAGGAUGACCGGCCACACUGGAACGUAGACACGGUCCAGACUCCUACGGGAGGCAGCAGUGGGGAAUAUUGCGCAAUUGGCGCAAUCCUGAUGUAGCCAGGCCGCGUGUAUGAUGAAGGCCUUCGGGUUGUAAAGUACUUUCAGCGGGGAGGCGUUACCCGCAGAAGAAGCACCGGCUAACUACGUGCCAGCAGCCGCGGUAAUUC